rnacentral:rRNA from 1 species
GAUGAACGCUGGCGGCGUGCCUAAUACAUGCAAGUCGAGCGAACGGACGAGAAGCUUGCUUCUCUGAUGUUAGCGGCGGACGGGUGAGUAGCACGUGGAUAACCUACCUAUAAGACUGGGAUAACUUCGGGAAACCGGAGCUAAUACCGGAUAAUAUUUUGAACCGCAUGGUUCAAAAGUGAAAGACGGUCUUGCUGUCACUUAUAGAUGGAUCCGCGCUGCAUUAGCUAGUUGGUAAGGUAACGGCUUACCAAGGCAACGAUGCAUAGCCGACCUGAGAGGGUGAUCGGCCACACUGGAACGGAGACACGGUCCAGACUCCUACGGGAGGCAGCAGUAGGGAAUCUUCCACAAUGGGCGAAAGCCUGACGGAGCAACGCCGCGUGAGUGAGAAAGGUCUUCGGAUCGUAAAACUCUGUUAUUAGGGAAGAACAUAUGUGUAAGUAACUGUGCACAUCUUGACGGUACAUAAUCAGAAAGCAACGGCUAACUACGUG